UACAGAGGGGGCAAGCGUUAUUCGGAAUUAUUGGGCGUAAAGGGCGCGUAGGCGGCCAGGCAAGUGGAAGGUGAAAUCCCUCGGCUUAACCGAGGAACUGCCCUCCAAACUGCUUGGCUUGAGACCGGGAGAGGUGAGUGGAAUUCCCAGUGUAGCGGUGAAAAUGCGUAGAUAUUGGGAGGAACACCAGUGGCGAAAGGCGGCUCACUGGACCGGUACUGACGCUGAU
rnacentral:rRNA from 1 species